rnacentral:lncRNA from 1 species
CCCCAUGAUCUGAGAAGGAUAGUGUAUGGUCCAAAGGCAGCAAUCCUUUCUUCUCCACACCUGUUAAUUCUGACAGUGUUACUGAUUCUACCUUCCUCGUAGCCUUGCUUCCACUCUCUCAAAUAGUAAGGCUUAACUGUAAAGAAGAGUCUCUAUACCUACAGAUGAGGAUAUUAUUUAAACUGCCAACAGUAUCUAAGACAUAGUAAAUAAGCCAGUAAUAAAUGCUUACUUUAGAAAGAGUGACCAGCACAUUUACAGAAAUAUGUCUGGUUACCUGUAGAUUCUUUUUUUUUCUUACUCACAGUUGGACUCUAGAGCAUCUAAUCAUUCUGUCUCCUUUGAAUGGGUAAUCUUACAGUGUCUAGGAUCAAUAUACACGUAAAGAAAUGUUUUGGGGUUCAUUGCUGCUAGAUUAUAAAAAUAAUCAGCUGUUUACAAUAGUGUCUACUAUAUACUGUGUAUAAGCUUACUCCUAAGGAUAGUUAUCUUUUUUGUAGUUUUUUUCCCCCUUUGAAUCUGGUUCUUGUUUCAGUUUUUCUGCUACAACAACUAAAUUUGAAAGUACAAAGUCUCUACUCUCCUAACAGGAGUUUCUGGCUGUUCACUGUUUACUGGCUGCUGCCCUUGCAAGUCCUGAUGAAAACAGUGGUGAAUUUUGCUGGCUGACUUUGUAGUCUCAGUAAUUUCAUGUCUAUGUUCAGCUGAGUAACGUCAUUUAGAACAGUAAAAUUUUUACAAAUUUUAAAUUUGAAAAUUUAUAUUGACUUUACUCAGUUGUCUAAUAAAGAGUCACUGAGGCUAUUUUUUAAGCCAUAUUUUGAAGUUAUAAAAAGAAAGAACAUCUGACUGAUGAUGUUCACAUAAAAAGACAAACACACUCUUCUUUCAGAUUUGAAAACAGUGUAAGUCAGGAUUUUCCUUUUCUUCCAGGCUGUAGGCCACCCAUCUCUUUUCCACUAGAUCACCUGGUAAGGAAGGAGCACCUGGCUGACUCAUGUGUCAUCUGGGCAACCAGAGAAUUAUAUGGUCUAGAGCUCUACUG